UAUAUAUACAUAUAGGACUGCUGUGGUUACUAACACUUGUAUGCAUGUGUUUGCAGUGUGCCAUGUUGCUUCCCCUGCUUAGGCUAAAUUGUAAUGACUGACUACUAAAUAUUUAUCCAUACAGAACUAAACUGCAUGUGUAUGAAUGAAAUUCUUUAUACUUUAAUGUAACAAACAGUCUGUUUAACUAUAUAAGGCUGAGAUAAGCAGGUGAAGUAAAAGAUGGAUAAUGUAUGCCUUUACUAACACCAGUUUUUUUUAUAUUGUCAAAAUAUAAAUGACUGACAAGAUUUUUUCUGUUGUAGUACCAUCUGCUACACUGUCCACACCAACUGAACUGAAGGGUUCACAAGUAGAUGCCCCUGCUCUGCCGAUGGUAAAGAGACCUGUGCCCCUUCCUCAGGAGCUGAUGUUCCUGAUGCCAGAAACACCAGGACCCUUGCCAACAGAGACAACUGUCACUGUUCCAGUGUCAGAGGCACUUCCGAUUUCUCCUGAGA